rfam:Bacillus marisflavi strain JCM 11544 scaffold1, whole genome shotgun sequence.
CUCUUAUCAAGAGCUGGCUGAGGGAUUUGGCCCUAUGAAGCCCAGCAACCGACCGUAAUACCGUUGAAAGACGGGGCGCAGAUUCGAUGCGCCUGACCAGGGCACGGUGCUAAUUCCAACAGAAUGAUUCCAUUCUGAGAGAUAAGAG